rnacentral:piRNA from 1 species
GAGACUGAGAGUUGGUGCUGGUGGUU